rnacentral:rRNA from 1 species
AACGAACGCUGGCGGCAGGCUUAACACAUGCAAGUCGAGCGCCCCGCAAGGGGAGCGGCAGACGGGUGAGUAACGCGUGGGAACGUACCCUUUGCUACGGAAUAGCUCCGGGAAACUGGAAUUAAUACCGUAUGUGCCCUACGGGGGAAAGAUUUAUCGGCAAAGGAUCGGCCCGCGUUGGAUUAGCUAGUUGGUGGGGUAAUGGCCUACCAAGGCGACGAUCCAUAGCUGGUCUGAGAGGAUGAUCAGCCACAUUGGGACUGAGACACGGCCCAAACUCCUACGGGAGGCAGCAGUGGGGAAUAUUGGACAAUGGGCGUAAGCCUGAUCCAGACAUGCCGCGUGAGUGAUGAAGGCCUUAGGGUUGUAAAGCUCUUCACCGGAGAAGAUAAUGACGGUAUCCGGAGAAGAAGCCCCGGCUAACUUCGUGCCAGCCGCCGCUGUAAAAC